rnacentral:rRNA from 1 species
UGGAGUCUAACCUGUGGCCGUAAUCCGGCAUGGGAACAGUGUUAGGCGGGCAGUUUGACUGGGGCGGUCUCCUCCUAAAGAGUAGCGGAGGAGCGCAAAGGUACCCUCAAUGCGGUUGGUAAUCGCAUGCAGAGCGCAAAGGUAUAAGGGUGCUUAACUGCGAGACAUAUAGGUCGAGCAGAUACGAAAGUAGGUCUUAGUGAUCCGGUGGUUCUGAAUGGAAGGGCCAUCGCUCAACGGAUAAAAGGUACUCCGGGGAUAACAGGCUGAUACCGCCCAAGAGUUCAUAUCGACGGCGGUGUUUGGCACCUCGAUGUCGGCUCAUCACAUCCUGGGGCUGAAGUCGGUCCCAAGGGUAUGGCUGUUCGCCAUUUAAAGUGGUACGCGAGCUGGGUUUAGAACGUCGUGAGACAGUUCGGUC